rnacentral:lncRNA from 1 species
CAUCCAUCCAUCCAUCAUCCAUCCAUCCAUCAUCCAUCCAUCCAUCAUCCAUCCAUCCAUCAUCCAUCCAUCCAUCAUCCAUCCAUCCAUCAUCCAUCCAUCCAUCAUCCAUCCCUCCAUCCCACAGCUGGCUCAGGCACCCGUGGCUGGUGUCCCUGUCCCCUCCCGGUGCUCUCUCUGUCACAGAGGGACAAACCCCUCCCAGGUGUCCCUGAGAGCCUCUCCCGGUGCCCGGGGCAGCCGCAGCGCUCGGGGCCGGGGCUGCGCUGCCUUUUGUGGCGCUCGGGCCCCGGUGAUUGGGCGCUAUUUUGCUCCGGCUCCCUCCGGCAGCUGUUGCUGUUCUUUACCCGGGAGAGCCGGGGCCGCCCGGGGCUGCAGCCGAGGAGGAGGCGGCGGCCGACCCCAGAUGCCAAGGCUCUGGUGAGCAGCAACAGCCACGGGGAGAGCGUGGAGCCCAUGUGAGUGCCCAGGGUCAGGGUGGGGGUGCCUGGGGGUUCCCUGUGCCGGGGCAGGGCAGGGGGUGCCAGGGAUGGAUCCCUGUGACAGGGCAGGGGGUGCCAGGGAUGGAUCCCUGUGACAGGGCAGGGGGUGCCAGGGAUGGAUCCCUGUGACAGGGCAGGGGGUGCCAGGGAUGGAUCCCUGUGACAGGGCAGGGGGUGCCAGGGAUGGAUCCCUGUGACAGGGCAGGGGGUGCCAGGGAUGGAUCCCUGUGACAGGGCAGGGGGUGCCAGGGAUGGAUCCCUGUGACAGGGCAGGGGGUGCCAAGGGGUGCCGGGGAUGGAUCCCUGUGCCAGGCCAGGGGGUGCCAGGGAUGGAUCCCUGUGCCAGGGCAGGGGGGGGGGGGGGGGGGGGGGGGGGGGGGGGGGGGGGGGGGGGGGGGGGGGGGGGGGGGGGGGGGGGGGGGGGGGGGGGGGGGGGGGGG